AACGAACGCUGGCGGCAUGCCUAACACAUGCAAGUCGAACGAGACCUUCGGGUCUAGUGGCGCACGGGUGCGUAACGCGUGGGAACCUGCCCUUAGGUUCGGAAUAACUCCCCGAAAGGGGUGCUAAUACCGGAUAAUGUCUUCGGACCAAAGAUUUAUCGCCUUUGGAUGGGCCCGAGUUGGAUUAGCUCGUUGGUAGGGUAAAAGCCUACCAAGGCGACGAUCCAUAGCUGGUCUGAGAGGAUGAUCAGCCACACUGGGACUGAGACACGGCCCAGACUCCUACGGGAGGCAGCAGUGGGGAAUAUUGGACAAUGGGCGAAAGCCUGAUCCAGCAAUGCCGCGUGAGUGAUGAAGGCCUUAGGGUUGUAAAGCUCUUUUACCCGGGAUGAUAAUGACAGUACCGGGAGAAUAAGCUCCGGCUAACUCCGUG
rnacentral:rRNA from 1 species